GCAAAAUUGGAGCUAUGGUCGAAAUUCAGUUUUGUGUAGCUGUUGUAUUCGCAGCAAUAACCACAACAUUUCACUACUCUCAAGGAGCAUGUGUAGGAGGAGGACCACUACUUAUGUACAUUGCAGAGUUUUUGAAUACAAGUGAACCUAUAUGGACGUAUAAUUCAACAGCAACUACGUCUCCUGUCUGCAAAGUUGACGUGAUUCAGCAGUGUACCUGGGCUAACGUCCGUUUGAGACGGCUUUACAUACAAAACCGAGUAACAUAACAGCUGCCAACAGGAGCGAUUGAUCUACAUGGCCUAUAACCGCAGCUGUGCAGUGGUCUCGGUCAACUUAAAUUGCCCAAAUAGCAUGGGAUAUGUCGAACUCCGUGUUCGCAAUUCGUCCGUUUCGACUGGUCCUGAGUGUGGCUGUGUAAAGAAAUUUGACGAGUAUCGUAGCAGAGGACAUCAAGUUUAUACGCCUGGGGUGCGAUCGGAGAUGGUUGUUCGGCGCGUUCGUUCGGUUACCGGCGCGCGCGAUUGGCCUACUCCGCGCCGACGUCGCCUGCCGCGGGGCGCCGCCCCGUUUUUGGUGACGUCAAAAUGACGACACGCUCCUGUCAAUCAUCCGCCCACCGAGCAUUUCGUCCGAACGCGACGGGAGUUGAGAAGUUUGGAGCGAUCAUACGGCUUCGCAUGGCGCGUCUGGUGGAUUGGAUUGGAUCCAACAGGCGGUCUUUUCGGCUGCGGAAUGGCACGAAUGGCACGUUUGAAUCCGAUCCAUAGUUUAAUUCUAGAAAAUGGCACUUCCGUUGGAAACUUCGGUUGUUUCGCUGGCGUUUCUUGAGGAAGGAGGAGAGUGGGUGGGGGUGCGAAACGCGUUUGAAGAAAUGGCAGAAAGUGAAUUCCGGCGUCGUUUUUGUUUCUCGAAACAAAUAAUUCGUUGGUUGUACAGAGAAAUCGACAACAUCAUCGGUGCCAGCGAGCCACUGGGAUGUUGUGGCUGCCUCUUGAAAAGUGCGCCACUCUUCCCGUCGUUAUUUUUUCUUUUACCUUCUCGCUGUGCGCGACACCACCUAGGGACGACGCAAAGAACCUAAUAGUUAUAAAUUGCAGUAGUCACACGUACUGCUAUUUGAAAACGUGUUUGGGCUUGAGAAGAAAAAAUACGUUUUUUUAGACAAAGAUUUCAUUCAAUUGGAAGACGAGAAACAUUUGGCUUUGUAGUAUACUGUUUGAGAGCAGACGACAAACGACGCAGGUAAACUUCCGGGGAGGUGACCGCUUCCUGACUGGCUGCUCUCUCCGCCCCGCUGUCACAAAUUUUGCAUACUGCAACUUUGUGACGUUGCAGCAACUGAACAGAACGCGUAUCGAACAAAAUAUCUCCGAUCGCGCCCCUGAUUGCCAGAGAAUACUUCAACGAGGCUGUCAAACUUCGUCUUGUUAUGGAGGCUAAAGUUUUCUAACACAAACUUUUCUAUGUGGAGUCAAAGAAUGUGCAGAAGAAAGAAAGCGAAAA